GACGUAGGGGGCGAGCGUUGUCCGGAAUUACUGGGCGUAAAGAGCACGUAGGCGGGAAUAUAAGUCAGGUGUGAAAGACCGCAGCUUAACUGCGGGGUUGCACAUGAAACUGUAUUUCUUGAGGGCAGGAGAGGAAAGCAGAAUUCCUGGUGUAGCGGUGAAAUGCGUAGAAAUCAGGAGGAAUACCAGUGGCGAAGGCGGCUUUCUGGACUGACCCUGACGCUGAGGUGCGAAAGCGUGGGUAGCAAACAGG
rnacentral:rRNA from 1 species